AUUGAACGCUGGCGGCAGGCUUAACACAUGCAAGUCGAGCGGAGUGAUGGUGCUUGCACUAUCACUUAGCGGCGGACGGGUGAGUAAUGCUUAGGAAUCUGCCUAUUAGUGGGGGACAACAUCUCGAAAGGGAUGCUAAUACCGCAUACGUCCUACGGGAGAAAGCAGGGGAUCACUUGUGACCUUGCGCUAAUAGAUGAGCCUAAGUCGGAUUAGCUAGUUGGUGGGGUAAAGGCCUACCAAGGCGACGAUCUGUAGCGGGUCUGAGAGGAUGAUCCGCCAGACUGGGACUGAGACACGGCCCAGACUCCUACGGGAGGCAGCAGUGGGGAAUAUUGGACAAUGGGGGGAACCCUGAUCCAGCCAUGCCGCGUGCGUGAAGAAGGCCUUAUGGUUGUAAAGCACUUUAAGCGAGGAGGAGGCUCUUUUGGUUAAUACCCAAGAUGAGUGGACGUUACUCGCAGAAUAAGCACCGGCUAACUCUGUGCCAGCAGCCGCCGUAA
rnacentral:rRNA from 1 species